rnacentral:lncRNA from 1 species
UGCUAGAAAAAUGGUACUCCCUUUGGGAUAUUUACCAAGCCAUGCAAUAUUUUAAAAUGUGGUAAAAUAUUUCUUGUUUCAGUGAAUAAGAAUGGUCUUCUUACAUAAUGCAGGGAUGGAAGAAGAUACUUGGAAAAAUCAGGGAAGAGUGAAGAAGAUACUUCAAAAAAUCGGGGAAGAUUUUCAUCAUAAGGUCCAAGCAAAGGCAUGAGUAUAAGAUAUUCCUGAGCCUGAGUCUACUGACAAAUAUACCACAUCCCCAGAGUAAGUUGGAGUCUCUUAAAAUUGUCUUGCUGGCAUCUAGCGGAGAUUGUCCCCACAAGCAUGUUCCUUAUGACGGAUGCCUGGGUCAGAACACAUAAUACAGUAAGUAUUGUAGAAGCUCUAGUAAUAUUGGUAUUGGUGACAUUUUAAUAGAACAAGUAUUUUGGUUUACCCUAAGAUUUUUCAUCAAAGGGGUUUAAGCUGACCUCU